UGAGUCAAGUAGCUCUUUCGUGAGGUCAGAGGAGUCUUAUCUUGGGAGGACUGCCAAGACAGGGCAAACUGGUCGGAGAUGGAUGUCUGUACUGCAGCUUUCUCAGACUCCAAGAGGUGAAUCACAGCUGCAGGGUCUUUGUCUGAACCUUGCUCAGAAGUGGAGACAACAGAACCAGUCUUGAUAUUCCUAUCUGGCAAGCCCUCUAGCAGCAAAAUCCCUUCUCUACUGUUUGACAUUCUCCUUUAUUGAUGUCAAGGACAGAGACAGCCCUUCAUGCUUCUCAGUCUGAUGUACACACCAUCCCUUGAUUCUGCACUCCCAACUUGCAGUACUGAAAAGAUGAAAAAUAUUAUUUUCCCCAAAAGAAAGAGGGAAAAUGAAGAGAUGCAGAGACACAUAUCCUGACUCACAACUAGCACUGUGGAAGAAAAGUGAGCUAUCAGCAGAAAUGUACUUCACUGUUGCCUGUAAUCUGUGAUUUCCAUUCAUGCCAAUUUAUGAGCAGACUGGGGCCUAUUUUCCUUUCGUUGUGUGUGAGUAACUCCCAUUGUUGAAAAUUGAAGUUAUUUGUUGUAUUAAAGAGGAAAAUGUGGC